rnacentral:rRNA from 1 species
GACGAACGCUGGCGGCGUGCUUAACACAUGCCAGUCGAACGGAAAGGCCCUGCUUUUGUGGGGUGCUCGAGUGGCGAACGGGUGAGUAACGCGUGAGUAACCUGCCCUUGACUUUGGGAUAACUUCAGGAAACUGGGGCUAAUACCGGAUAGGAGCUCCUGCUGCAUGGUGGGGGUUGGAAAGUUUCGGCGGUUGGGGAUGGACUCGCGGCUUAUCGGCUUGUUGGUGGGGUAGUGGCUUACCAAGGCUUUGACGGGUAGCCGGCCUGAGAGGGUGACCGGCCACAUUGGGACUGAGAUACGGCCCAGACUCCUACGGGAGGCAGCAGUGGGGAAUAUUGCACAAUGGGCGGAAGCCUGAUGCAGCAACGCCGCGUGCGGGAUGACUGCCUUCGGGUUGUAAACCGCUUUCGCCUGUGACGAAGCGUGAGUGACGGUAAUGUGUAAAGAAGCACCGGCUAACUACGUG